rfam:Operophtera brumata OBRT01_Sc03299, whole genome shotgun sequence.
CACUAGGCCCUUUUCAGGGCCACCAACCUCAUCACCACUGACCUU